GAUCCUGGCUCAGGAUGAACGCUGGCGGCGUGCUUAACACAUGCAAGUCGAGCGAAGCACUUUGCUUUGAUUUCUUCGGGAUGAAGAGCUUAGUGACUGAGCGGCGGACGGGUGAGGUAACGCGUGGGUAACCUGCCCUCAUACAGGGGGAUAACAGUUAAGAAAUGACUGCUAAGUACCGCAUAAGGCCACAGCACCGCAUGGUGCGAGGGGUUAAAAAACCUCCGGGUGGUAUGAGAUGGACCCG
rnacentral:rRNA from 1 species